GACACUAUGGCGGAGUGGUUAACGCGGUGCCCUGCUAAGGCAUUUCCUUCGGGAGCGCAGGUUCGAAUCCUGCUGGUGUCG
rnacentral:tRNA from 12 species